GACGAACGCUGGCGGCGCGCUUAACACAUGCAAGUCGAACGGAAAGGCCUGCUUUCCCUUGUGGAUUGCGGGUACUCGAGUGGCGAACGGGUGAGUAACACGUGAGUGAUCUGCCCCCAACUUGGGUAUAAGCCUGGGAAACUGGGUCUAAUUCCCGAUAGGACUGCAGGGUGGUGCCUGUGGUGGAAAACGAUUUUCUAGUGGUUGGGGAUGAGCUCGCGGCUUAUCAGCUUGUUGGUGGGGUAAUGGCCUACCAAGGCAGCGACGGGUAGCCGGCCUGGGAGGGUGGACGGCCACAUUGGGACUGAGAUACGGCCCAGACUCCUACGGGAGGCAGCAGUGGGGAAUAUUGCACAAUGGGCGGAAGCCUGAUGCAGCGACGCCGCGUGGGGGAUGACGGCCUUCGGGUUGUAAACUCCUUUCGACCGCGAGGAAGCCACCUGGUUGGAAGGGUGGUGACGGUAGUGGUAGAAGAAGCACCGGCUAACUACGUG
rnacentral:rRNA from 1 species